UUGGUCCAGACGCUUCUCUGUUCGGGCGAAAAAGAAGAAACAGAGAGAGAGAGAGAGAGAGAGAGAGAGGGAGAGAGUGAACGAGAAAGAUGGAGAGCUCGAGAUGAAGGUCAAGGGAAGUUUAGCUUGGAAUGGAAUAUGGAAAAUAGUAGAGAUGGAGAGUGAACAAGCAAUAGCCAGAGCCCGAGCUUGAGCUAGAUAAAGAGGUAGACAAAUGAAAGAGCCAAGGAUGGGAAAGUCGCAGGUCGGCGGUGGAUAAAACCAAAUAGAGAGGGGAACGAGGCAGAGAAGAUUGAGGGUAGAUUGAGAUAGGGAAGCUGGAGAGCACCGCGAGGAAGACCUUGACAUGGUGAUCCGUUAUUGAUUGGUUUUGGAGAGAAUACUGAUGGUGGGUAGAACGACUAGAAGAAGCUGAUUAUAUUAGCUUCCUAAGCUUAUGACUUAUACUCUACCUUGUCCAUGGGACUGCUUGCUUGUCAAAGAGAUGUCAAAUCUCAGGUUCGUGAAGGUGUGUGUGGAUGGGAUUCCCAUAGGCAGGAAGGUGGACUUGAAUGCUCACUCAAGCUACGAGACUCUAGCACAAGCAAUAGAAGACAUGUUCUUUGGACCCACCAGUUCAAUUGAUAAUCUUUUGAGGUGUUAGACUUUUACGUCUGAAAUCCAUGUGAAGGUGGUUGAGAGAAGGAACAAGUUAAUCGACCAUCUAAGCUUCUUGAUGGAUCGUCCGAUUUUGUGCUGACUUAUGAAGAUAAACAGGGAGACAAGAUGCUUGUGGGAGAUGUCCCUUGGAGGAUGUUCCUCAGCUCAGUGAUAAGGCUCAGAAUCAUGAGAACCUCUGAGGCUAAUGGACUCGCAACGGGAUUCCAAGAAAGGAACCAGAUGCUGAAAAGAAAGCCCAUAUAGUACCACCACAGCCUUCUACAUUCCUUCGCUUGGAAACGACGAUGAGGAGUGGUCACUCUAAAGAAUGGGAAAUCAAAGGUAGAGAAGUUGGCAAUGUCGAGUUUUUUUGUCCUUAUUAUCUUUGUUCGGUUUACCUUUUCUGUUUCAUGGAUCCGCUUCUGGUUCUGGAUGCCUUUUUGGGUUCUUUUUGUCACGUAGUCAUGUUAGUUUUUCUUAUUUUUGGUCAUAUCAAAGUUCUUUUUGUUAUUCCAUAUAGUGAUAUUGGCAACGGGCCUUGCAUCCUGUGGAGAAUGCUGCUCCUUCUCAUACUGUAUAUAUGAGAGUAUUUUUCCUCAUUACAGUGCUUGAGUCUGCUCCAAUUUCGUGGAAAUUUGGAAUUGAGCCUUUGUUCCUUUGUGUGUGGUUGGAUGGUUUUGGUAUUUGGUUUGGUUUUCCUUAUUCAUGGGAGGACCGAGUCUGUAAUUUCA